CCAGGCUCUUGACAUAAAGCUAGGCUCUUGAGGAAAAGCAGGGUUAGGAAAGUUAAACCGGGAUAAGACGGGUAAUGCCAGAUCACCUGACGAAAACCCUGAAAACCUGAGGUCAUGCCAGGCAGGAGGAAUGCCAUAAAGCAGGGUCAGGUGAGGUAAAGCAAAGUCAGCUGAUGUAAAGCCUGGAAGUGUCGUAAAGCAUUGUCAAGUGGUGUAAAACAGGGUAAGGUAACGUAAAGCCGGGGAAAUUAAUGUAAGCAAAGCCUGGUAGUGCCGUAAAGCAUUGUCAACCGACGUAGAGCAGGGUAAAGUGUCAUAAAGCAGGGUCAGGUGACGUAAAUGCCAGGAAACUGAGGUAAAGCCUGGGGACCCUUGUAUUUAGUGUCAGUUAUGUUACAAAAGCUGGGCACAUGACGUUCAGCCCAAGGACCAGACCUAAAGAGGGAACGUGAAAUAAAGCUGUGGCACCAGCUGUGAAGCCGGGAACCUGAGGGGAAGCCAGCUGCCAUGUCAUGAGGCAGGUGAAGAGGGUCUCAAGGCAAAAAACUGAGCUCUGCCAAGAUCCAACUCUGUUUACUGAGAGGGCCUGGAAGCAGUGACCCCAGUGACAAUGAACAACCCAGCGCCCAGGUAUGGGUUUCUAAAUUCCAUUGUUCAGUUAUAGAAAAAAAAAAUAACCACGGGCAUGGUCAAUAGAGUGUAGAAAAGGAAAAAUCAUGGCUUUACAGUGGAGAACCCUGGCAGACACCACCUUAACCAAGUAGUCAUUGUUAUUAUCAUGAGUGAUGUAGUGUCAAUGCUAUGUACUUGUGAUAUGGUGCAAUGAAAAAAAUAUUUCCUCUUUGUGGCCCUCUUCCCCAAAAUUGAUAGCCCCAGUCUAAUCAUGAAAACAUAUCAGCCAAACCCAAAUUGAGGAACAGCCUGUGAAACACCUGACCAGAAAAAUUGCAAGGUCAUCAAAAACAAAGUUAAACUAAAAAGCUAUCACAGACCAGAGAAGACCGAGGAGGCAGGAUGACUAAUUUCUGCAGUGUCCAGGAUUGGGUUCUGGCACAGGUGAAAGGAAAAGGUGUAGA